rnacentral:rRNA from 1 species
CGGAGGGUCCAAGCGUUAUNCGGAUUUAUUGGGUUUAAAGGGUUCGUAGGCGGAGNAUUAAGNUAGAGNUGAAAGCCCACAGCUCAACUGUGGAACUGNCAUUGAUACUGGNACUCUUGAGUAUAGUAGAAGUUAGCGGAAUGUGUCAUGUNGCGGNGAAANGCUUAGAUAUGACCCAGAACACCGAUUGCGAAGGCAGCUAACUAUGCUAUUACUGACGCUGAGGAACGAAAGCGUGGCGAGCGAACAGGAUUAGAUACCCUGGUAGUGCACGCCGUAAACGAUGAUUACU